GGCAGUGUGGUGCAGUGGUUAGGGUGUCAGACUUCUAGGACCUGGGAGACCAGGGUUCAAACCCCACCCCUCAGCCA